rnacentral:rRNA from 1 species
CGGAGGAUCCAAGCGUUAUCCGGAAUCAUUGGGUUUAAAGGGUCCGUAGGCGGUUUGGUAAGUCAGUGGUGAAAGCCCAUCGCUCAACGGUGGAACGGCCAUUGAUACUGCUAAACUUGAAUUAUUAGGAAGUAACUAGAAUAUGUAGUGUAGCGGUGAAAUGCUUAGAGAUUACAUGGAAUACCAAUUGCGAAGGCAGGUUACUACUAAUGGAUUGACGCUGAUGGACGAAAGCGUGGGUAGCAAACAGGAUUAGAUACCCUGGUAGUCCACGCCGUAAACGAUGGAUACUAGCUGUUCGGAGCAAUCUGAGUGGCUAAGCGAAAGUGAUAAGUAUCCCACCUGGGGAGUACGUUCGCAAGAAUG